rnacentral:rRNA from 1 species
CCUACGGGAGGCAGCAGUGAGGAAUAUUGGUCAAUGGACGCAAGUCUGAACCAGCCAUGCCGCGUGCAGGAUGACGGCUCUAUGAGUUGUAAACUUCUUUUGUACGAGGGUAAUAUCUUCUACGUGUAUCCUCUUGAAUGUAUCGUACGAAUAAGGAUCGGCUAACUCCGUGCCAGCAGCCGCGGUAAUACGGAGGAUCCAAGCGUUAUCCGGAUUUAUUGGGUUUAAAGGGUGCGUAGGCGGUUUUAUAAGUUAGAGGUGAAAAUUCGGGGCUCAACUCCGGACGUGCCUGUAAUACUGGAUGACUAGAGAAUAGAUGCGGUAGGCGGAAUGUAUGGUGUAGCGGUGAAAUGCGUAGAGAUCAUACAGAACACCGAUUGCGAAGGCAGCUUACCAGACUAUAACGGACGUUGAGGCACGAAAGCGUGGGGAGCAAACAGGAUUAGAUACCCCUGUAGUC